rnacentral:rRNA from 1 species
AGCGAACGCUGGCGGCAGGCCUAAAACAUGCAAGUCGAACGCCCGUAGCAAUACGGGAGUGGCAGACGGGUGAGUAACACGUGGGAACGUGCCCUUUGGUUCGGAACAACACAGGGAAACUUGUGCUAAUACCGGAUAAGCCCUUACGGGGAAAGAUUUAUCGCCAGAGGAUCGGCCCGCGUCUGAUUAGCUAGUUGGUGAGGUAACGGCUCACCAAGGCUACGAUCAGUAGCUGGCUGAGAGGAUGAUCAGCCACACUGGGACUGAGACACGGCCCAGACUCCUACGGGAGGCAGCAGUUAGGAAUCUUGGACAAUGGGACGCAAGCCUGAUCCAGCCAUGCCGCGU